rnacentral:lncRNA from 1 species
UGUUUUGAAACAUGACAUGAAUACAUGAUGAAAAUGAUUUACGAUUCAUGAUUGUGAAAUAUACAUGAUUUAUGCAUGCAUGAUGAAUUUAUAACUUGUUUUGUUAUAUGCUCUAUGAAAUGCUUUAUUUUGUAUUAUCUGUUAUUUUCUAAAUAUUGCAUUAUCAUAAAAAAAAAACUUAUGCUUGAUCCGAUAAGGAAGUGUAAGUUCUACUUACUGGGCUAGUGUAGCUCAUAUUUUUUUUGUUUUCUUUUUGUUUGAACAGAGAAAUAAGGUUAGGAUCGGUAAAAAGAAUCCAAGCUUGAAGAUCGGCAUAGCAAGCUGAAAAAUUUGACAACAGAAAUUUAAUUUAUUUUAUAAUCAUGAAUUUGUAGUUAUUUAUGAAUGUUGA